GAUGAACGCUGGCGGCGUGCCUAAUACAUGCAAGUCGAACGCGCAGCGAAAGGUGCUUGCACCUUUCAAGCGAGUGGCGAACGGGUGAGUAACACGUGGUUAACCUGCCUCAAGGCUGGGGAUAACAUUUGGAAACAGAUGCUAAUACCGAAUAAAACUUAGUAUCGCAUGAUACAAAGUUAAAAGGCGCUACGGCGUCACCUAGAGAUGGAUCCGCGGUGCAUUAGUUAGUUGGUGGGGUAAAGGCUUACCAAGACGAUGAUGCAUAGCCGAGUUGAGAGAGUGAUCGGCCACAUGGGGACUGAGACACGGCCCAAACUCCUACGGGAGGCUGCAGUAGGGAAUCUUCCACAAUGGGCGCAAGCCUGAUGGAGCAACGCCGCGUGUGUGAUGAAGGCUUUCGGGUCGUAAAGCACUGUUGUAUGGGAAGAAAUGCUAAAAUAGGGAAUGAUUUUAGUUUGACGGUACCAUACCAGAAAGGGACGGCUAAAUACGUGCCAGCAGCCGCCGUAA
rnacentral:rRNA from 1 species